rnacentral:ncRNA from 1 species
AAAAAUCUUACUGUUAUAUUUGUAUCAAGAUUUGUAUAAGGGUUUUAUAACUUAUACAGCCAUUCUGCUCGAAAUGGUGUAGCAUUGGAAACAAUGGUACUGCGAAUUGUAGCAAGGUGUGUGGCGACCUUUAACAGUCAUGGUGGUCUCUUGAGUGGGUAUCUUAUGACAUUAAAAAUAGAAAGUAAGCUAUUAUGUCAGCUGUAGGGCAAGAGUUACAGUCGGUGAAAUUAAGCCGAAUAAGAUAAGU